rnacentral:rRNA from 1 species
AUGAAGGGAACCGGGAAGUGGACAGUGCAGCAGGCCGCUGAGCUCUCUGUGGCUGCUCCUACCAUUGAGGCGUCCUUGGACUCCAGGUUCCUCAGCGUGCUCAAGGACGAGAGGGUGGCUGCUUCCAAGAUCUUCCAGGGUGACUACAGCAGCGGCGAAACUGUUGACAAGGCACAGCUGAUCGAGGAUGUGAGGAAGGCCCUCUACGCCUCCAAGAUCUGCAGCUAUGCCCAGGGCAUGAACAUCAUCAAGGCCAAGAGCACGGAGAAGGGAUGGGGCCUCAAGCUCGGCGAGCUGGCCAGGAUCUGGAAGGGCGGGUGCAUCAUCCGUGCCAGCUUCCUCGACCGCAUCAAGAAGGCCUAUGACAGGAACGGUGAGCUCGCCAACCUCCUCAUCGACCCCGAGUUUGCCCAGGAGAUCAUGGACAGGCAAGCCGCGUGGCGGAGGGUCGUCUGCCUCGCCAUCAACAACGGCGUCAGCACCCCCGGCAUGUCUGCGAGUCUGGCAUACUUCGACUCCUACCGGAGGGACAGGCUUCCUGCCAACCUCGUCCAGGCCCAGAGCAUAGUAGCCGGAAACGGGGAACGCCACGGACUCCCGUCCCUCGUUCCCGUUCCUUGUUCCCACCGUACCGGAAACAUGCCAACUAUGGCCCAGAGGGACUACUUUGGGGCGCACACCUACGAGAGGGUCGACAUGCCCGGCUCCUUCCACACCGAGUGGUACAAGAUCGCCAACUCGAAGAUCUAA